CUCCAUCAUGGUCACCAUCCCAUCAUGGUCACCAUCCCAUCAACAUCUCCAUCAAUGUCACCAUCCCAUCAACGUCUCCAUCAUUGUCCCCAUCCCAUCAAGGUUCUCAUUCCAUCUUCUCUCCAUCCCAUCAAUGUCUCCAUCCCAUGAAGUUCUUCAUCCCAUCAACAUCUCCAUCAAUGUCUCCAUCCCAUCAGCGUCUCCAUCUUGACAUCAUCCCAUCAACAUCUCCAUCACAUGAAGUUCUUCAUCUCAUAAAUUUCUCCAUCAUUGUCACCAUCCCAUCAAUGUCACCAUCCCGUCAAGGUCCUCAUCUCCUAGAUGUCCCCAUCUUCUCCUCAUCCCAUCAACAUCUCCAUCAUUGUCUCCAACCCAUAAAAGUUCUCAUCCCAUCAAUGUCUCCAUCACAUGAAGUUCUUCAUCCCAUCAACAUCUCCAUCUUUGUCUCCAUCCCAUCAACGUCUCCAUGCCAUCAAUGUCUCCAUCCCAUCAUGUCCAUCCCAUCAUCUCCAUCCCAUCAUCUCCAUCCCAUCAAUGUCUCCCUCAAAGUCACCGUCCCACCACCGUCUCCAUCCCAUCACCACCCUAAGCCUGACCAUCAUCAUCAUCACCUUGACCAUCACCUUGACCAUGUCCAUGACCAUCACUUGACCAUCACCAUGUCCAUCACCGUCACCUUGACCAUGGCUAAGACCAUGAUGGCCAUGCCUGGAGAAUGGCCAGGUGACCACUGUGGGGUUGACCAACGUCGGUUUUGGGUCCACCACCUCACAUCCACUUUGGGGCCACCACCAACAUCAAUUUUGGGGCCACCACCCAACGUCCGUAUUGAGGUUCACCAACGUUGAUUUUGGGGCCACCACCUGAGGUCCACUUUGAGGUUCUCUGAUCUCCACUUUUUGGGGUCACCACCUGAUGUCCACCCCCGAUGUCCCCACAGUGCGGACGUGUCCCAAGUCGCACCUGAGCCUGGAGAACGGCCAGGUGACCACUUUGGGGCCACCACCACACAUCCAUUGUGGGGCCACCACCUCACGUCCAUUUUGGGGUUCUCUGAUGUCCACAUUUUGGGGUCACCACCUGAUGUCCACUAUGAAGUUCACCAAUGUCCAUUUUGAGGCCACCACCUGAGGUCCAUUUUGAGGUUCACCAACGCCCAUUUUGAACUUCACCAACGUUGAUUUUGGGGCCACCACCCAACGUCCAUUUUGGGGUUCACCAACGUCCAUUUUGGGGCCACCACCUGAGGUCCAUUUUGAGGUUCACCAAUGCCCAUUUUGAACUUCACAAACGUCCAUUUUGGGGCCACCACCCAACAGCCACUUGAGGUUCACCAAUGUCCAUUUUGGAGCCACCACCCAACGUCCAUUUUGGGGCCACCACCUGAGGUCCACUUUGAGGUUCUCUGAUGUCCACUUUUUGGGGCCACCACCAAUGCCCAUUUUGAAGUUCACCAACGUUGAUUUUGGGGCCACCACCUGAGGUCCCCUUUGAGGUUCUCUGACCUCCACUUUUUGGGGUCACCACCCAAGGUCCAUUUGGGGUUCACCAAUGUCCAUUUUGGGGCCACCACCCCACAUUCAUUUUGGAGCCACCACCCAACAUCCACUUGAGGUUCACCAACGUCCACUUUGGGGCCACCACCUGAGGUCCACUUUGAGGUUCUCUGACUUCCACCUUUUGGGGUCACCACCCCAUGUCCAUUUUGGGGCCACCACCACCUGAUGUCCACCCCUGAUGUCCCCACAGUGCGGACGUGUCCCAAGUCGCACCUGAGCCUGGAGAACGGCCAGGUGGCCGCGGGGGACAUGGAGAGGGUCCCCGUUGAGGGCACCUGGGCCAGGUUCU
rnacentral:lncRNA from 1 species